rnacentral:rRNA from 1 species
UCUUCCUACGGGAGGCAGCAGUGAGGAAUAUUGGUCAAUGGCCGAAGGGCUGAACCAGCCAAGCCGCGUGAAGGAAUAAGGCCCUACGGGUCGUAAACUUCUUUAGUCAGGGAACAAAGGGUGCCACGUGUGGCGCUGUGAGUGUACCUGAAGAAUAAGCAUCGGCUAACUCCGUGCCAGCAGCCGCGGUAAUACGGAGGAUGCGAGCGUUAUCCGGAUUUAUUGGGUUUAAAGGGAGCGUAGGUGGAUUGUUAAGUCAGUUGUGAAAGUUUGCGGCUCAACCGUAAAAUUGCAGUUGAAACUGG